GCCACAAGAAACAAUAGCACACCAAGUGUUUAACUAAAUGCUCUCUAAAGUAUUCUUUUACUUCAAAAAAAUACCACUUAAUAAUUAUAAAUGAGGAGAAAUACAUCUAUUUAUAGUUGAGGUUUCGUAUAUCCAACGAUAGAAAUCGAAUUUUGUCAACAAUUGAAAUUAGUGCCUACCUACAAGAAAAGAGUUUUAAAGGAUUUAAACUC
rnacentral:lncRNA from 1 species